rnacentral:rRNA from 1 species
AUUGAACGCUGGCGGCAGGCCUAACACAUGCCAGUCGAGCGGAUGAAGGGAGCUUGCUCCUGGAUUCAGCGGCGGACGGGUGAGUAAUGCCUAGGAAUCUGCCUGGUAGUGGGGGAUAACGUCCGGAAACGGGCGCUAAUACCGCAUACGUCCUGAGGGAGAAAGUGGGGGAUCUUCGGACCUCACGCUAUCAGAUGAGCCUAGGUCGGAUUAGCUAGUUGGUGGGGUAAAGGCCUACCAAGGCGACGAUCCGUAACUGGUCUGAGAGGAUGAUCAGUCACACUGGAACUGGAGCACCGUCCCGACUCCUAAGGGAGGCAGCAGUGGGGAAUAUUGGACAAUGGGCGAAAGCCUGAUCCAGCCAUGCCGCGUGUGUGAAGAAGGUCUUCGGAUUGUAAAGCACUUUAAGUUGGGAGGAAGGGCAGUAAGUUAAUACCUUGCUGUUUUGACGUUACCAACAGAAUAAGCACCGGCUAACUUCGUG